GGGCCCGCACAAGCGGUGGAGCAUGUGGUUUAAUUCGAAGCAACGCGAAGAACCUUACCAGGUCUUGACAUCCUUUGACCGCUCUAGAGAUAGAGCUUUCCCUUCGGGGACAAAGUGACAGGUGGUGCAUGGUUGUCGUCAGCUCGUGUCGUGAGAUGUUGGGUUAAGUCCCGCAACGAGCGCAACCCUUAUUGUUAGUUGCCAUCAUUUAGUUGGGCACUCUAGCGAGACUGCCGGUGACAAACCGGAGGAAGGUGGGGAUGACGUCAAAUCAUCAUGCCCCUUAUGACCUGGGCUACACACGUGCUACAAUGGGAGUACAACGAGUCGCUAACUCGCGAGAGUAUGCUAAUCUCUUAAAACUCUUCUCAGUUCGGAUUGUAGGCUGCAACUCGCCUACAUGAAGCCGGAAUCGCUAGUAAUCGCGGAUCAGCACGCCG
rnacentral:rRNA from 1 species